rnacentral:rRNA from 1 species
AGUAACGCGUGAGGAACCUGCCUUGGAGUGGGGAAUAACACACCGAAAGGUGUGCUAAUACCGCAUAAAGCAGUGGAGAGGCAUCUCUCUACUGCCAAAGAUUUAUCGCUCUGAGAUGGCCUCGCGUCUGAUUAGCUAGUUGGUGGGGUAACGGCCUACCAAGGCGACGAUCAGUAGCCGGACUGAGAGGUUGACCGGCCACAUUAGGACUGAGAUACGGCCCAGACUCCUACGGGAGGCAGCAG